rnacentral:tRNA from 1 species
GGAGGGGUGGUCGAGUGGUUAAUGGCAGCGGACUGUAACUCCGCCUCCUUCGGGAUACAUAGGUUCAAAUCCUAUCCCCUCCACCA